GACGAACGCUGGCGGCGUGCCUAAUACAUGCAAGUCGAACGCAGUGGGGACGGGUGAGUAACACGUGGGUAACCUCCCAUCAGAGGGGAUAAAAAUGGGCAACAGGUGCUAAACCGAUACUGAUGGAUGGACCCGCGGUGCAUUAGCGAGAUGUGGAGGUAACGGCUCACCAAGGCCACGAUGCAUCGCCGACCUGAGAGGGUGAUCGGCCACACUGGGACUGAGACACGGCCCAUACUCCUACGGGAGGCAGCAGUAGGGAAUCUUCGGCAAUGGACGAAAGUCUGACCGAGCAACGCCGCGUGAGUGAAGAAGGUUUUCGGAUCGUAAAACUCUGUUGUUAGAGAAGCGGUAUCUAACCAGAAAGCCACGGCUAACUACGUGCCAGCAGCCGCGGUAAUUC
rnacentral:rRNA from 1 species